CCUACGGGUGGCAGCAGUGGGGGAUAUUGCACAAUGGGGGAAACCCUGAUGCAGCGACGCCGCGUGUGGGAAGACGGUCCUCUGGAUUGUAAACCACUGUCCCCAGGGACGAAGAUUACGGUACCUGGGGAGGAAGCUCCGGCUAACUACGUGCCAGCAGCCGCGGUAAUACGUAGGUAGCGAGCGUUGUCCGGAAUUACUGGGUUUAAAGGGUGCGUAGGCGGUAUUUUAAGUUAGUGUUAAACGGUCGGGGCUUCACCUUGGUUGGCCAUUAAAACUGGAGUACUAGAGUAAAGACGAGGUAGGCGGAAUAAGUUAAGUAGCGGUGAAAUGCUUAGAUAUAAGUAAGAACCCCGAUGGCGAAGGCGGCUUACCGGACUGUUACUGACGCUGAAGCACGAGAGCGUGGGUAGCGAACAGGAUUAGAUACCCGAGUAGUC
rnacentral:rRNA from 1 species